GGUAUGCGGUAAAGACCCAGGCAAAUCCAGCUAGUAUUUUACUCAAUUUCUGGUUAAAAAAAUUUAGAUACAGUCUCAAAUUCAUUCCUAGCUGGCUGUCUCGGAGAUGAAUGAACAGGGGGUGCGGGGGCUGUUUUGCCCCCGUUGGUGUAGAUGAACGAAGCAUUUAAUAUUCCAGAAUCAAUACCCAUUGCAUUUCUUCUCUAGUUUUAUGGCUGUGACCUUCCUGAUUGAAGUAAUGGCCUCUGCAAAUGCACAUGUACUUUGGAACAGGAAAUAUGACAACCAUAAAGUGAAUGAAAUGAAGUUGAAAGAAAGUGUCCUUUUCUCUGAAAAGAAAGCAGAAGGGUCCAAAAAGCCCUCCGGCUGGAAAUCAGAGUCUUUUAGAGAAGCUUUCCUGAAGAGGUCACCCUGAUGUUACCUGGAGAGAUAGCAACAACGGCCUGUUCUCACGGCAGACUUCCAGCACCCGGAGCUAAUUCCCCAUGCUGCUUCAGGCUCCUUUCCUGACCCAAGGCAAGUUACCGAAAUCUCUGUGUGCUCUUGGCAAAGCUGGUGUAGACAUCUAAACUUGUGUGAU
rnacentral:lncRNA from 1 species